UCUUUACCUGUAAUCUCUAAUCACACUAACUGAUGAAAAACACUUAAGUGUUAGUAAGUUUGUGCACCCUUUAGAGUUUUUUUAACUGUUAAUUUAGAGGUGAAUUAGAGUUAAUCUGCUUUCAGGCAGUGGGAUUGUUAGUGCGUGCCUCGUUUUAUUUAAAGAACCUGCAAAGUCUGAUCUUUACAACACAAACAAAGGAGAUUGUUGAUGACUUCAGAAAGAGUUGCUGUUGCUCAUCAGGCUGAAAAAAGGUUAAACAGCCCCUGAUGUGGUCGACCAAUAAAGAUCCCUCUAAAGCAAGACGUGUGAUAGUCCGUGAGGUCACAAAGGAACCCAGAGUAACUUUUAAGCCCCUAAAGGUCUCUCUUAUGUUGGCUAAUGUUAACGUUCAUGAGUCCACAUUCAGGAGAACACUGAACAACCUGGUGUGUGUGUGUGUGUGGGAGAGUCGCAGGGAGAACGUCACUACAAGAAGAACUUUGUUUCUCAUCUGAAGUUUGCUGAAGAUCAUGUGGACGAAACAGAGGUCUUUUGGAAAAAGGACAGUGACAAGACAAUGACCCAAGAAAACAACUCGUCCUUCCACCGAAUGUUUAAAGAGGAAGCAGGAGAAGAAGAAGCUGUUCUGUAGUGAGGAAUGGGCCAAAAGCUCCAAGCUGUUAUUCAGGACUGAUCACCAGCUACACAAAUGUGUACUUACUGUUGUACAGUCUGGUUAGAACAGAUACUGAAAAUCCUAAAGGGUUCACAAACUUUACCAGCACCACUCUAUGUUGUCACUGACCAUAUUCUCUCUCUCCCUCCCUCUCUCUCUCCUACUCUCUCUCUCCCACUCCCUCCCUCUCUCUCUCCCACUCUCUCUCUCCCUCCCUCUCUCUCUCCCA